rnacentral:rRNA from 1 species
GAUGAACGCUGGCGGCGUGCCUAAUACAUGCAAGUCGAGCGAACAGACGAGGAGCUUGCUCCUCUGACGUUAGCGGCUGACGGGUGAGUAACACGUGGAUAACCUACCUAUAAUACUGGGAUAACUUCGGGAAACCGGAGCUAAUACCGGAUAAUAUAUUGAACCGCAUGGUUCAAUAGUGAAAGACGGUUUUGCUGUCACUUAUAGAUGGAUCCGCGCCGCAUUAGCUAGUUGGUAAGGUAACGGCUUACCAAGGCAACGAUGCGUAGCCGACCUGAGAGGGUGAUCGGCCACACUGGAACUGAGACACGGUCCAGACUCCUACGGGAGGCAGCAGUAGGGAAUAUUCCGCAAUGGGCGAAAGCCUGACGGAGCAACGCCGCGUGAGUGAUGAAGGUCUUCGGAUCGUAAAACUCUGUUAUUAGGGAAGAACAAAUGUGUAAGUAACUAUGCACGUCUUGACGGUACCUAAUCAGAAAGCCACGGCUAACUACGUG